AAAGGGGGAACCAGGCCAAGGGCUCAGAGGCUUACAGGGCCCCCCUGGAAAGUUGGGGCCUCCAGGAAAUCCAGGGCCUUCUGGGUCACCAGGACCAAAGGGCCAAAAAGGAGACCCUGGAAAAAGUCCGGAUGGUGAUAGUAGCCUGGCUGCCUCAGAAAGAAAAGCUCUGCAAACAGAAAUGGCACGUAUCAAAAAGUGGCUCACCUUCUCUCUGGGCAAACAAGUUGGGAACAAGUUCUUCCUGACCAAUGGUGAAAUAAUGACCUUUGAUGCUGCAGAGAAUGGAGCCAUUCAGAAUCUCAUCAAGGAGGAAGCCUUCCUGGGCAUCACUGAUGAGAAGACAGAAGGGCAGUUUGUGGAUCUG
rnacentral:lncRNA from 1 species